rnacentral:rRNA from 1 species
CGGAGGGGCUAGCGUUGUUCGGAAUGACUGGGCGUAAAGCGCGCGUAGGCGGAUCGGACAGUCAGAGGUGAAAGCCCGGGGCUCAACCCCGGAACGGCCUUUGAUACUUCCGGUCUUGAGUUCGAGAGAGGUGGGUGGAAUUCCGAGUGUAGAGGUGAAAUUCGUAGAUAUUCGGAGGAACACCAGUGGCGAAGGCGGCCCACUGGCUCGACACUGACGCUGAGGCGCGAAAGCGCGGGGAGCAAACAGGAUU